GACGAACGCUGGCGGCGUGCCUAAUACAUGCAAGUUGAGCGAUGAAGAUUGGUGCUUGCACCAAUUUGAAGAGCAGCGAACGGGUGAGUAACGCGUGGGGAAUCUGCCUUUGAGCGGGGGACAACAUUUGGAAACGAAUGCUAAUACCGCAUAACAACUUUAAACAUAAAUUUUAAGUUUGAAAGAUGCAAUUGCAUCACUCAAAGAUGAUCCCGCGUUGUAUUAGCUAGUUGGUGAGGUAAAGGCUCACCAAGGCGAUGAUACAUAGCCGACCUGAGAGGGUGAUCGGCCACAUUGGGACUGAGACACGGCCCAAACUCCUACGGGAGGCAGCAGUAGGGAAUCUUCGGCAAUGGACGAAAGUCUGACCGAGCAACGCCGCGUGAGUGAAGAAGGUUUUCGGAUCGUAAAACUCUGUUGGUAGAGAAGAACGUUGGUGAGAGUGGAAAGCUCAUCAAGUGACGGUAACUACCCAGAAAGGGACGGCUAACUACGU
rnacentral:rRNA from 1 species